rnacentral:rRNA from 1 species
CCACAUGUCUGAAUCCUUUUUUUACGAGCACCUUUCGUUCUCCUUCGGUGGGGCAACCUGCCGUUGGAACUUAUCAAAACCUUUUUUUGCAUCUAGCAUUACCUGUUCAGAUACAAACAAUCGUUACAACUUUCAACAAUGGAUCUCUUGGCUCUGGCAUCGAUGAAGAACGCAGCGAAAUGCGAUAAGUAGUGUGAAUUGCAGAAUUCAGUGAAUCAUCGAAUCUUUGAACGCACAUUGCGCCCCUUGGUAUUCCAUGGGGCAUGCCUGUUCGAGCGUCAUCUACACCCUCAAGCUCUGCUUGGUGUUGGGCGUCUGUCCCGCCUCUGCGCGUGGACUCGCCCCAAAUUCAUUGGCAGCGGUCUUUGCCUCCUCUCGCGCAGCACAUUGCGCUUCAGAGGGGUGUGGGCCGCGUCCACGAAGCAACAUUAUCGUCUUUGACCUCGGAUCAGGU